rnacentral:rRNA from 1 species
AGGACGAACGCUGGCGGCGUGCCUAACACAUGCAAGUCGAACGGAGUCCAAGCGGUGGCAACACUGCUGAAGACUUAGUGGCGAACGGGUGAGUAUCACGUGAGCAACCUGCCCCGAAGACUGGGAUAACACCGGGAAACCGGUGCUAAUACCGGAUGUCCCCACCGGAUCGCAUGGUCUGGUGAGGAAAUGAAUUUCGCUUUGGGAGGGACUCGCGGCCUAUCAGCUUGUUGGUGGUGUAACGGACCACCAAGGCUUCGACGGGUAGCUGGUCUGAGAGGACGAUCAGCCACACUGGGACUGAGACACGGCCCAGACUCCUACGGGAGGCAGCAGUGGGGAAUCUUGCGCAAUGGGCGAAAGCCUGACGCAGCAACGCCGCGUGAGGGACGAAGGCCUUCUGGGUUGUAAACCUCUUUCAGCAGGGACGAUUGUGACGGUACCUGCAGAAGAAGCCCCGGCAACUACGUGCCAGCAGCCGCGGUAA